rnacentral:rRNA from 1 species
GAUGAACGCUGGCGGCAUGCCUAACACAUGCAAGUCGAACGAGAUCUUCGGGUCUAGUGGCGCACGGGUGCGUAACGCGUGGGAAUCUGCCCUUUGGUUCGGAAUAACAGUUGGAAACGGCUGCUAAUACCGGAUGAUGACGAAGGUCCAAAGAUUUAUCGCCAGAGGAUGAGCCCGCGUAGGAUUAGCUAGUUGGUGUGGUAAAGGCGCACCAAGGCGACGAUCCUUAGCUGGUCUGAGAGGAUGAUCAGCCACACUGGGACUGAGACACGGCCCAGACUCCUACGGGAGGCAGCAGUGGGGAAUAUUGGACAAUGGGCGAAAGCCUGAUCCAGCAAUGCCGCGUGAGUGAUGAAGGCCUUAGGGUUGUAAAGCUCUUUUACCCGGGAUGAUAAUGACAGUACCGGGAGAAUAAGCUCCGGCUAACUCCGUGCCAGCAGCCGCCGUAA